rnacentral:rRNA from 1 species
GUGUCAGCAGCCGCGGUAAUACGAAGGGGGCUAGCGUUGUUCGGAAUUACUGGGCGUAAAGCGCGCGUAGGCGGUGAUCUUUGUCAGAGGUGAAAGCCUGGGGCUCAACUCCAGAAUUGCCUUUGAAACGGGAUUGCUAGAGUCCGAGAGAGGAUGGCGGAAUUCCUAGUGUAGAGGUGAAAUUCGUAGAUAUUAGGAAGAACACCGGUGGCGAAGGCGGCCAUCUGGCUCGGUACUGACGCUCAGGCGCGAAAGCGUGGGGAGCAAACAGGAUUAGAUACCCUGGUAGUCCACGCCGUAAACUAUGAGUGCUAGUUGUUGGGAAGUUUACUUCUCAGUGACGCAGCUAACGCGUUAAGCACUCCGCCUGGGGAGUACGGUCGCAAGAUUAAA